GCCUGGGUGGCUCAGUUGGUUAAGCAUCUGACUUCAGCCCAGGUCAUGAUCUUAUCUUGUGGUUCGUGGGUUCGAGCCCCACGUCGGGCU
rnacentral:tRNA from 1 species